AUCUGAUGGUUCCCAAGGUAACUGUAACAAAGGGAAACGUAGAACGUGGAAGGCUCCAGAGGAGGUCCAAGGCCUCUGUGCACUCACCGGCCACGCUCAGGCGCACGGCGGCCUCCUGGUAGCUGGAGUCCUCCCUGAAGACACACCGGUACUCGCCAUCGUCGGAGGCCCUGAUGCCUCGGAUCCUCAAAGCCGCGAUCCCCUCAGCGAGCUCCUCCGGCACCAACGUGGCCCUCCCGCGGUACUCGGGCAUCUGCUCGUCCUCCAGGUCACGCCCGGCCUGGUGCACCAGCACGGCAGGCGAGAAGUGACCACGUGAGAGAUUCCGAAUGCACAUGCAUGGGGAGAACAGAAGAGGACCGCUUACACGCAGGGAGACGCCCAGCUUUGCAGUCCGGAGAGGAGACUCACCUGCAUCCAGGAUGGGCAGCUGCAGGAGGACGAGGCGUUCCUGCUCUUUCUCAUGGUGAAGUUUCCAGAUGACGCCAACUGCACCCACCAGGAGAAGUGUCAACAGCACCAGGAGUGAGAUCAACAAGAAAUGCAAGAUGAGAACUUAAUCAUCUACAAUUGUAGAAGGACAUUAUGACCCUGGAAGGUCAGCGAGCACAGGAUUACAAUUGAUUGUAUAAUAUUUGUA